rnacentral:rRNA from 1 species
ACCCCUAAAAACUAGGUCUCAGUUCAGAUUGCAGGCUGCAACCCGCCUGCAUGAAGUCGGAAUUGCUAGUAAUCGCGGAUCAGCAUGCCGCGGUGAAUACGUUCCCGGGCCCUUGUACACACCGCCCGUCACACCAUGAGAGUUGGAGAUACCCGAAGCCUAUGAGCUAACUUUUAGAGGCAGUAGUCGAAGGUAGAAUCAAUGAUUGGGGUGAAGUCGUAACAAGGUAUC